rnacentral:rRNA from 1 species
GAUGAACGCUGGCGGCGUGCCUAACACAUGCAAGUCGAGCGAAUGGAUUAAGAGCUUGCUCUUAUGAAGUUAGCGGCGGACGGGGGAGUAACACGUGGGUAACCUGCCCAUAAGACUGGGAUAACUCCGGGAAACCGGGGCUAAUACCGGAUAACAUUUUGAGCCGCAUGGUUCGAAAUUGAAAGGCGGCUUCGGCUGUCAAUUAUGGAUGGACCCGCGUCGCAUUAGCUAGUUGGUGAGGUAACGGCUCACCAAGGCAACGAUGCGUAGCCGACCUGAGAGGGUGAUCGGCCACACUGGGACUGAGACACGGCCCAGACUCCUACGGGAGGCAGCAGUAGGGAAUCUUCCGCAAUGGACGAAAGUCUGACGGAGCAACGCCGCGUGAGUGAUGAAGGCUUUCGGGUCGUAAAACUCUGUUGUUAGGGAAGAACAAGUGCUAGUUGAAUAAGCUGGCACCUUGACGGUACCUAACCAGAAAGCCACGGCUAACUACGUGCCAGCCGCCGCGGUAA